AGUGAACGCUGGCGGUAGGCCUAACACAUGCAAGUCGAACGGCAGCACAGUAAGAGCUUGCUCUUACGGGUGGCGAGUGGCGGAAGGGUGAGGAAUACAUCGGAAUCUACUUUUUCGUGGGGGAUAAAGUAGGGAAACUUACGCUAAUACCGCAUACGACCUACGGGUGAAAGCAGGGGAUCUUAGGACCUUGCGCGAUUGAAUGAGCCGAUGUCGGAUUAGCUAGUUGGCGGGGUAAAGGCCCACCAAGGCGACGAUCCGUAGCUGGUCUGAGAGGAUGAUCAGCCACACUGGAACUGAGACACGGUCCAGACUCCUACGGGAGGCAGCAGUGGGGAAUAUUGGACAAUGGGCGCAAGCCUGAUCCAGCCAUACCGCGUGGGUGAAGAAGGCCUUCGGGUUGUAAAGCCCUUUUGUUGGGAAAGAAAAGCAGCAGGUUAAUACCCCGCUGUUCUGACGGUACCCAAAGAAUAAGCACCGGCUAACUUCGUG
rnacentral:rRNA from 1 species